rnacentral:rRNA from 1 species
GCAUAAUGGCUUUAAACGACCCGUCUUGAAACACGGACCAAGGAGUCUAACAUGUCUGCGAGUGUUUGGGUGAAAACCCGGACGCGUAAUGAAAGUGAUAACUGGGAACCCCUUUGGGGGGGGCACCGGUGCCCCGAGCUGACCUUGUGUGACGCAUCGGAGGUAGAGCAUAUAUGUUGGGACCCGAAAGAUGGUGAACUAUGCCUGAAUAGGGUGAAGCCAGAGGAAACUCCGGUGGAGGCUCGUAGCGAUUCUGACGUGCAAAUCGAUCGUCAAAUUUGGGUAUAGGGGCGAAAGACUAAUCGAACCAUCUAGUAGCUGGUUCCUGCCGAAGUUUCCCUCAGGAUAGCAGAAACUCGUUUCAGUUUUAUGUGGUAAAGCGAAUGAUUAGAGACCUUGGGGAUGAAACAUCCUUAAUCUAUUCUCAAACUUUAAAUAUGUAAGGUCAGGAUGCUUGCUUGAUUGAAGCACCUGUAAAUGAGAGUUUCUAGUGGGCCAUUUUUGGUAAGCAGAACUGGCGAUGCGGGAUGAACCGAACGCGAGGUUAAGGUGCCGGAAUACACGCUCAUCAGACACCACAAAAGGUGUUGGUUCAUCUAG